ensembl:lncRNA
AAACCCCCAAGCCCGCCCCAGCCGUCAGGCGCCGCAGCUGCCGAGAAAUAAUGUGACAAAAGUUAGCAACUUGCGCGCGCCUCCCGCGUGCGCAACCCGCGGGCAGGGUCUGCCCUCUUCCGAGCGCACGAUCUCCGCGGCGGCGACCCGGGGUGAGGCGCCUAGAAGUGGGUCCAGCCCGCUCAGAACCGGGACGGCGGCGCAGCUUUCCGCUCGGACUUUCUCCAGGCUUGACUAUUUGAGCGUGACCUUGCAGGAGGAAGAGCCCUGAACUUGCGCCGGGGGCUCAGCGCGCCUCCUCGGCCGUCCCAACCGCUGCGGCCCGAGUCUCUGCUUCCUCCUCGUGAAGGUCCCCGCCGCUCCACGCCCACCCCGCGCGGGGCUCGGGGACGCCCAGUGAGGGGUCACGUGAGGGCCCAGAAGCGCGCGAGUGGGGGGACCGGGCCGGCCACAGCUUCCGCCGGCCCAGCCGGCCCCGCGGGACACAACUUGACCCUGAAGGCAGGGACGAACUCGCGGUGUCGCCUUCGCUGGGAUCCCACGCGUGUUUCUGGGGACCCCUCGCCUCUCCCUCGCACGUCCCCUCAGGUCCCCACGCCUAGCCAGUUUGCGCCCAGAUGGUUUCCCCGGAGACAGCGAGCGCUCACCCCCGCCCCGCGGUUGUCUGUGUUGGGAAGAAGAGGGGGACGGAAGGAGGCGCGGAGGAGGAAAACGGCAGUGCCCUGUCGCCGCCGGCGCCCUGGCAGAUUCCACUUCCUUGGCUGGAAACGCCAGUGGCAGGCAGCCGGUAACUCUGAGGACUGUGCCGAGCAAAGGGACGAGUCUGCCUGGGGACCGGGGAUGGACAGCCCCUUGGCCUUCUGAGGUGCUCAAUAGCCACAUGGGACUGGUGGCUACUAUAUGGGCAGAGAGUGCUGGGGAUGUUUCUACCAUCAGGAAACAGUGGAUUGGAAAGAAGUCAUCACCCUGGAAUGUGUCACUUUACCCUGCCUGUCCCUAACCCAGCUCGGAAAUGAUUGCAACCAUUGUGGAAGAAGAAAGAAGGUUGAUGUGAGCACGUGCACGCGCGUGUGUUUGUUUGUGUGUGUGUGUACAACGGUUCUUUUUACAUGAUUAUUGGUGAAGAUCUCUCUUUUUCUCUUUUUUGUGGUGCUGGCUGGUGAUUACACAUAUGAGCUAGGAAAAGUGGCAGUUCACGGGCAGCACCUACCUGUCUGACUGUUGACACUUCACCUCGAGGCCCA